rnacentral:rRNA from 1 species
AUUGAACGCUGGCGGCAGGCCUAACACAUGCAAGUAGAGCGAGCGGCGGACGGGUGAGGAAUGUAUGGGGACUGCCCGCUAGAGGGGGAUAACUACUGGAAACGGUAGCUAAUACCGCAUACUAUCGGAUAACCCAUAUGGGAUUAGCUAGUAGGUUAGGUAAUGGCUCACCUAGGCGACGAUCCCUAGCUGGUCUGAGGGGAUGAUCAGCCACACUGGGACGUAGACACGGCCCGGACUCCUACGGAGGCAGCAGUGGGGAAUAUUGCACAAGGGGCGCAAGCCUGAUGCGUCCAUGCCGCAUGUAUGAAGAAGUGCCUAGGGUUGUAAGGUACUUUCAAUCGGGGGGCUUUACCGACAGAAGAAGCACCGGCUAGCUCCGUGCCAGCCGCCUCGGUAAUAC